GAACGCUGGCGGCGUGCUUAACACAUGCAAGUCGAACGGAAAGGCCUUUUCGGAGGUGCUCGAGUGGCGAACGGGUGAGUAACACGUGGGUGAUCUGCCCUGCACUCUGGGAUAAGCCUGGGAAACUGGGUCUAAUACCGGAUAGGACCGCACUUUAGUGUGUGUGGUGGAAAGUUUUUUCGGUGUAGGAUGAGCCCGCGGCCUAUCAGCUUGUUGGUGGGGUAAUGGCCUACCAAGGCGGCGACGGGUAGCCGGACUGAGAGGUUGGUCGGCCACAUUGGGACUGAGAUACGGCCCAGACUCCUACGGGAGGCAGCAGUGGGGAAUAUUGCACAAUGGGCGCAAGCCUGAUGCAGCGACGCCGCGUGGGGGAUGACGGCCUUCGGGUUGUAAACUCCUUUCGCCAGGGACGAAGCGUUUUGUGACGGUACCUGGAGAAGAAGCACCGGCUAACUACGUGCCAGCAGCCGCGGUAAUACGUAGGGUGCAAGCGUUGUCCGGAAUUACUGGGCGUAAAGAGCUCGUAGGUGGUUUGUCACGUCGUCUGUGAAAUUCCACAGCUUAACUGUGGGCGUGCAGGCGAUACGGGCUGACUUGAGUACUGUAGGGGUAACUGGAAUUCCUGGUGUAGCGGUGAAAUGCGCAGAUAUCAGGAGGAACACCGAUGGCGAAGGCAGGUUACUGGGCAGUUACUGACGCUGAGGAGCGAAAGCAUGGGUAGCAAACAGGAUUAGAUACCCUGGUAGUCCAUGCCGUAAACGGUGGGCGCUAGGUGUAGGGGCCUUUUGGGGUUUCUGUGCCGUAGCUGACGCAUUAAGCGCCCCGCCUGGGGAGUACGGCCGCAAGGCUA
rnacentral:rRNA from 1 species